CUUUCAGUCCACGCGAUCCGCUUCCUGGUCCGGGCGAAUCUACAAGCACAGGACAGAAGCCAGGCCUCCGUGGAGCCAACGAGGAGUACCUGUUUGAAGAAAAAAAACAAAAAGGAAGUAAAACCAAAGACAGGCAGCCCUGCACCAGGCCCAAAACCAGGCCUGGGCCUGCCUGGCCUAAACCCAGUAGUUAAAAAUCAACUCAAAACUUAGAAACCAAUGUUUUUCAUAGAUUCCAGACAUUGUAUAGAAGAACAUCGUGAAACUCCCUGCCCUGUUCUGUUUCUCUCUGACCACCAGUGCAUGAAACCCGUUAAGUAUCCCCUAGAUUGUUCAAUCAAUCACGACCUUUCACAUGAAACCUUUAGUGUUGUGAGCCCUUAAAAGGGACAGAAAUUGUGCACUCGGGGAACUCAGAUUUUAAGGCAGUAGCUUGCUGAUGCUCCCAGCUGAAUAAAGCCCUUCCUUCU
rnacentral:lncRNA from 1 species